GUCGUCUUAUUGGCCAUAAUGCACGCGAAUGCAUUACAAGAAUUGUAUGCAUGCUCCUUAUUAACAUAAUAUUACGGACGUACUUAUACAGGCAUUUUCCUUUUGAAAACUAUCACCAGUUGUGUUUAUACCUAGUAGUUUAUUACAUACAUAGACAAUAUAUACUGUCAUCUCAUGAAUGUACAUAAUUCAACUAGAGGCUCUCAAGAGCCUGUG
rnacentral:lncRNA from 1 species